GCCUGCUGGUGGCUCUGGGCAUUGUACCUAAUGAGCUGACAGCAGGUUAGCUGCAGCAAGGCUGUCCCCGUGGGGUUGCGAAUCCUGCCUUAACCAAGCUGACUGGUACUUCUGCUUCUCUGCAUCUGCAAUGAGCCCUGGACUGCUGCAGAGGAUACAGCAGAACUGAGAGGAAAACAGCAGCAGCAGUGCCUGGAGUGCUGCAGGAUGUCGCCAGGAGCUGCCUAGGCUGGGCUGAUGUCCUCUGUCUGCUGCAUGGCCAUAUCCUGCAGAGAGGAAGGGAGGCGGGCAGAAAGCAUCCUAUGCCAGUGACUGGUGUUGGUACACUGCCCUGUGAACGUUCUCAAAAAGCCAAGAGCUUAUCAGUGACAGUGGGGCAGGACCCCGGUUCAGGUUACUGCCACCCUCCAGGAGCAGGCCGGGCAGAUUCACCUCCAGUAUCGAUGUACCUUACUUGCAGUUUCCUUGGAAAAUCUACUUCUGACCAAAAGACCCAGAAACUAUUUUGAACAAAACAGCAUUUCCCUUUUAUUUUGCCUCAUAAGUAUGAAACAAUUGCAUUUGUAGACUGCUUCGACACGAGAAGCAAAAUUUCUGCUGAAAAUGGCUCUGUGAUUUCACACCUGUGAUUCAGAGCAAAACCUGGGAAGGACACAGAAGAAACCACACCCCAGUGUGUGUAUCCACAUUCCCACUGCAGAUGUGGCUAACGUGAUGGCUUCAUAAACAUAGAAUCAUAGAAUUGUAGGAUCAUUAAUGUUGGAAAGACCUCUAAGAUCACUAAUCCAACCAUCAGCCUACCACCAUCAUGCCCGCUGACCACAUCUCCAUGGUUCUUGAACAUCUCCAGGGAUGGAGACUCCACCACCUCUCUGGCUGGUAUUCAAUGCUCUCUGCAAGCACUUGACAGUCCUUUGCACUGCUGCCUGUAUCUGCACACUGGAGGCCAACCUGCUGCUUGAAAGAAAAUCACUCUCAGAAUCACAGUGCCAGGGGACCCUUCUCCUUAGGAACACCCUAUUCAGGAUCCUUCUGCUCCCAGUCUGUGAUUUCCAGUGCACAGGAAUACACACAGAGGAUCUGCCUCUCUUGGCCUCACUGCUCUCCAAUGCAAGCCUGCAGUUGCAGUCUGCAGUUUGGGCUCUGUUGGUAGCACUGCACUGGCUGCUGACCCUUCCAGGAAGUGCUUUCCUCCUGUACCUCCUCCCACCACCUUGCUUGCGAUCCCAAGUGCUGACCUACAGGAUACCGUGAUGAUCCAGCAUCACCUCCACUGGGCCCCCAGCUGCCGGCUAAUGGAGAGGCCCUGCUGCGCCACGUGUUCCUGUAAGCCUUGGGUCAUCCCAUUUCACGGCUUCUCAGAAGGCAUCUGUCAGUGCGUCCGUUUCAUGAAGUACACAGAACGGAGAUUAAGUUGCAUUUCAGCCACCCUUUCCUUUCUUACCAAGCACUUUGCGUAGGAGUGGCAGCCCCUUUGUUAACUGAUGGGAAGAUAUGAGUUUGUGCUUCUGGUACAUCCCUACUGGGGGAACAGUCCUUCCAGAACUCCCAGCAUCUCCUCUCCACUGAGGUGCUCAGCAAUCCUUCAGCUAGAAGAGGUGGAAAGAGAAAAGGUGGGCAGGUUUGCUAGCAUACUGCUGCAAGAGAAGGAAGAAACUGAGAAAUGAAGAGCUGCAAUAACACGGGGACAUUUUUGCCAGAGGUACUAAUACCAAGAACAGCUGCCUGUCACUGAACUGCUUUUCCCUUUGCUCACUAGGACACGUUAAAUAUGCAGAAGCUGCGUCACCUCCCUUGACAGACAACUUUGGAGAUGUUUCCUGUAUGUGGGGCUGCCUAAGAGUCUGCAGACAGUUGGAGCCAGCCCGGAGCUCCCAGAAAUCACGAGGGAAGCCAGGCUGUGCAGCCACCUCCCAGGGAUAUCACAAGUCCCUGCUGGGUGCAUGCAUGGUGCCACGAGGACCUCUGUUUGUGCAGGACCAUUGCUCUGUGAGUGCUUCCCCUGCUGCUAUUGCAGCUCUCUGCAAGACCUCAUAUUUCUCAACCGAUUUCCUUCCAGCCCCACAUUUGCGAGUGCUGAGGGCUGUGGCAAUUGAGUGAUCAAGCACUCUCCCUGCCAGCAUUUUCUACCCGGGCCUCGUGCUGACCCUCAGGGUUAUCAGAAAAGCCUUUCGUCAGACGUCAGCCGGAGCAGAAAUUGGCAUGGAGACAGCGCUGCAAUUCUGUAAGGCGUUGCAUUGUACUGGCAAAGGUGGAGAAUGCAGCCCUGGCAUUUAUGGUGCAUCAGCCCACGCAUGGUCACAGUGCCUGACGACGCAAAGAAGAAUUGCGGCUGUAAAAUUGCCCAUAGCAGCUGAGCAUCCACUUUGCCUUGCCUCAUCCUCAGGAUGCGGGGCGCUCUCUCAAGGAGCAGUUUCUCGCUGGUUUAACAGCCUGCAGGACCGCCCAGCUGCACGUUGCAGAGGACGCUUGGCUGUGAGAUCCCAGCCCCAUGCCUAAGGGCGUGGCUGAAAGGGCUGCAGGAGGACUUCCUGUCCGCACCAGAUGGGGUUACACUGCUGUCCUGUUUCCCCUACCACUUAAGUCUGGGAUGUACGUGUUGGGAGCAGAAAUCCAUAGGAGGUAUUGGAGAACAAAUGUGGACCAGAGCUCAAAGAAAGCCCAGCCUAACUAUUGCCACCUCCUCUCCCAGAUCUCCAUCCAGCCUCAUGCGGCACUGGUACCUGAGUGAGCAGGGAGCCCAAGAGCAACACCUGUGUCUGCUUCCAGGAGGAUUCGCACUGAUGUUACCAGGAGCAACUCUGUUGACUUCCGCAAGGUUCUACUCAACGACACCGCAUAAACGACAG
ensembl:lncRNA